UUAGGAAUCUUGGACAAUGGGCGCAAGCCUGAUCCAGCCAUGCCGCGUGAGUGAUGAAGGCCUUAGGGUUGUAAAGCUCUUUCAGCGGGGAAGAUAAUGACGGUACCCGCAGAAGAAGCCCCGGCUAACUUCGUGCCAGCAGCCGCGGUAAUACGAAGGGGGCUAGCGUUGCUCGGAAUCACUGGGCGUAAAGCGCACGUAGGCGGCUUUCUAAGUCAGGGGUGAAAUCCUGGAGCUCAACUCCAGAACUGCCUUUGAUACUGGAGAGCUUGAGUCCGGAAGAGGUGAGUGGAACUCCGAGUGUAGAGGUGAAAUUCGUAGAUAUUCGGAAGAACACCAGUGGCGAAGGCGGCUCACUGGUCCGGUACUGACGCUGAGGUGCGAAAGCGUGGGGAGCAAACAGG
rnacentral:rRNA from 1 species